CCUACGGGAGGCAGCAGUGGGGAAUAUUGGACAAUGGGCGAAAGCCUGAUCCAGCAAUGCCGCGUGUGUGAAGAAGGUCUUCGGAUUGUAAAGCACUUCCGACGAGGACGAUGAUGACGGUACCCGUAGAAGAAGCCCCGGCUAACUUCGUGCCAGCAGCCGCGGUAAUACGAAGGGGGCUAGCGUUGCUCGGAAUGACUGGGCGUAAAGGGCGCGUAGGCGGUUUAUGCAGUCAGAUGUGAAAUCCCCGGGCUUAACCUGGGAACUGCAAUUGAGACGCAUAGACUAGAGGUCGAGAGAGGGUUGUGGAAUUCCCAGUGUAGAGGUGAAAUUCGUAGAUAUUGGGAAGAACACCGGUGGCGAAGGCGGCAACCUGGCUCGAUACUGACGCUGAGUCGCGAAAGCGUGGGGAGCAAACAGGAUUAGAUACCCUAGUAAUC
rnacentral:rRNA from 1 species